CGGAACGAGUUAUCUGAACCUUCGGGGAACGAUAACGGCGUCGAGCGGCGGACGGGUGAGUAAUGCCUGGGAAAUUGCCCUGAUGUGGGGGAUAACUAUUGGAAACGAUAGCUAAUACCGCAUAACGUCUACGGACCAAAGAGGGGGACCUUCGGGCCUCUCGCUUCAGGAUAUGCCCANGUGGGAUUAGCUAGUUGGUGAGGUAAUGGCUCACCAAGGCGACGAUCCCUAGCUGGUCUGAGAGGAUGAUCAGCCACACUGGAACUGAGACACGGUCCAGACUCCUACGGGAGGCAGCAGUGGGGAAUAUUGCACAAUGGGCGCAAGCCUGAUGCAGCCAUGCCGCGUGUAUGAAGAAGGCCUUCGGGUUGUAAAGUACUUUCAGUCGUGAGGAAGGCAUAUAGUUAAUAGCU
rnacentral:rRNA from 1 species